rnacentral:rRNA from 1 species
UACGUAUGUGGCAAGCGUUGUCCGGAUUUAUUGGGUUUAAAGGGUGCGUAGGCGGCCCUGUAAGUCAGUGGUGAAAUACUCUAGCUUAACUAGAGGGGUGCCAAUGAUACUGCAGGGCUUGAGUACAGAUGAGGUAGGCGGAAUUGACGGUGUAGCGGUGAAAUGCAUAGAUAUCGUCAAGAACACCGAUAGCGAAGGCAGCUUACUGGGCUGUAACUGACGCUGAUGCACGAAAGUGUGGGGAUCAAACAGG